rnacentral:misc_RNA from 1 species
AAUAUAAUCACAUUGCUCGGUUGUUGAAUUUGACCAAUUUCUUACAACAUUUAGAUGAUUUGUAAUAAAGAUGGACAGGGAUGCUCAUUCCUCUAUAAGUAGCACAAAUUUGAUUAGUUGAAGAAUGUAGGAAAAAAAUGGUGGGAUGAGGCUAAUCAAGCAGCAACUGGUACUUUUAGAGAUUCUAGUAUCUUAUCGUCUAGUUCAAACUUCAUUUCUUUCUUGUCUCUGCCAAUUUUCACGUACUCCUCAUAUCGCUCCUUCAAAUCUUCCGGUAAGUUAGUUGUAGCACUCCAUCCCAGAAUCUCAUUGGCAGCUCUAGGCUCAGCAUAGAAGUGCAUGUUGCGGAAAGGAAAAGCUUUUUUAGCAUCAACUCCUACUGCCUUGGGGUCAUAAUGCACAAUUUCAACAGAGCUUCCUGCAGCUUUAGCGCAUAAUCUUGCCAUUCCAUCCAAUGUCACAGCACGGUCACUAACACAGUUGAAGAUGCGGCCACUAGCAGCAGCUGGAUUCUGGACAGCCAGAGUAAGCAUGGAUGAUAAGUCCCUGACAUGAGAUAUGUUGGUUAGCUGCAUUCCAGAGCCAGGAAUUAGAACUGGUCGUCCACGAACAAUACGAUCAAAGAACCAUUCCUCACAAUCCUUGUUAUUGCCAGAGCCAAUCAUGUACUGAGGACGGAAACUUGCCCAACUACCAAAUAUCUCAGAUAUGUAUUUCUCGACUAAUACAUGACCAGCAUCAGCUUUCACAGCAUCCCCUUCAACAUGAGGAGG